rnacentral:lncRNA from 1 species
AUGAUGCAUCAGUGAAAAAAGUUCACCAUGCCUUCGUGUUUUCAACUCAAAAUGCCGUCUGUGAGAACUGUAACCAGAUUCAAGAGGAUUGCUGAGUCUCCACAUUUUAACACUUGAAAUUGCAGAUUAUAAUGCAUAAAGACAACAUCCAAAGAUCUAAAAGCUUAGAUCAUCAGUUAUGUGAAUGUGACUCAAAAUCUGAACAAGACAAGAAGAAUGAAGGUCAAAGUAUUGUACCCUGUUGCAACACAUAUUGGUACUCCAUUUGCAUGGAGGUGCCUAAUCAAGCGGCUGGCUCCUAAGAUCAUACGAAAGAAAAAGUUAAAACAAUGAAAUAAGAGCAUGUAACUGAAAGCUUUAGAACAAUAAACUAAUUAUUACCCAAAGAAAAAGUAACUAAAAAAAAAAAAGAGGAAGACUCCAAGAUGACAAAACCAUUCUUGAACUAUUUAAAAAGGUCAGCUGCCAAUUCACUUCCCAGUUUGGAAAGUAACCAACAUCCAGAACCCAAUAGAACUACAUUCAAUAAAAUUCCAAGGUGGAAGGAGGAGAAUUUAAGAAGAAGAAUGAGCAGACUCCAAGAUAAAGGGUGUACUCCACCAUCUACUAAACAAAUACAGAAUAGCAAGCACAGGAACCAAAUUUCGGAACCUGAAACUUGAAAUUUCCAUUUUAAGAUUAAAAAGGGUAAAAAUGGACAAUCCCUUCAGGAAAAAAGCUACAAUCACACACAGCAAAAUGACCUGAGUAUUAGAAAUGCAAAGGAGAUUUGCAAUUAAAUUGGUGUUAGGACGUUUCAUCAUUUUAUCUGCAAUUCUCAGGAUCAUUCCAUAAACUAACGAAUCACCAAAUAAGAAACUCAGAAAACAAAAAAAAAAAAAAAAAAAAAUUUCUCUAUGCUUCUACCGACUCUGGUAAUGUGGAGUGAGGAUGAAACGCUGUUGUGGUCAAAUACAGUACUAUGCGUUCCUCAAAAUUAACUGAAAGACAUAGUACUAUGUACUUUUUCUGCUGUCAAGUCCAUGAAUAAGAUGAUCUUUGUCCUAAACUUAGCUGCUAGAAGGAAAGUUCAUGAUUUCCAUGCAUGGCUCAAAAUUCUUUUUUAUUUUUAAUUUUUUUUGGCUUAUCCAAGGAGAGAAAUAGCAAGGCCACUAAGACGGAGAUGAUUUCUGACAAGUACGUUUUGGUGAUCUAUUACACGGAAAAUUAUAGUCCAUUUCACAUGCUGAUUCGGGGAUGAAGAAUGGAGAAAAACAACCACCAAAGGCUAAAAUACGUAUUAAUAAUUGAAUCCCAGAAAGAGAAGAAAAGAAAUUGCAAAUAAAAGAAUAUCAAAGCCUUAGAUAUCAUAUAUUCCCCUUGAUGCUGUUGCUUCUUCUUGCCUGCCGGAAUGGACAAUAUUUAUUGAUCGGUACAACCUGAAAGGAGGUUUGACACAUCUCCAAACCUUUUUUGUUCCAUUCCACAAGAAAGUUUGACUGUGGUAAUUGCUAAAACAAAAACAACAAAAGCAAAAAAUGGGGCCGCCACUAAUAAAAGAACCUUGAAAGAUGUGAUAAAACAAGUGGAGGAGCAAGAGUUACUAGCAACCUUUGUGAGUUAAUUAACCGGAAUUCAAUUAAUUUGAAGUAUAGAACGUGUGAGGUCACCUUACUACGUUGACAAUAACGUUUCAGAAUUAGUCUUUUUUUUCUGCAAAAUCUAGCAAAGAAGACACCUUAAUUGCCACGAUUCCAGAGUCCAGAAACCGGAAAAGAAAUUUCUUCAUUUGUAUCGAACCAGAGUAUAUAUAUAUGCCUUUUCUUCCUCGAUCGAUUUGGACUAGAUAGCUUAUUGGCUUACUUGUCUAGCCUCAAAGGGAUUGCAUUCGAUGAUGAUUGGUGUUGUACAGAAAACUACCCCAUGCCUUACAUGUUUACGAACCAUCUAAUUAUAUCAUACAAUCUUAGUGACCUAUCUGUACAUACUCAAUUAUGAAUGAACUUGCAGCAACUUUAACAGCAAUAAUAAAUUGAAAAAUGUGUCAAAUUCAAGUAUACAUAUGAUCCUGACCGCUGCUCAUGAAUCAUUAAAACAAGCAAGUGCAUUGGAGAUUCUCUACUUGGUCUUGGCUUUAGAAUAGAAAUUUCUGAACAUUUUCACCGAACUCUUUUGUGAUCUUUUAAUAAUAACAUCCAAGAAUUGACUCUGUGAAUAUCUAAUCCUGGUAUACUUUUCUAUCCUCAUAUUGGUAUUAGUGGACAAUAUUGUACAUAUAGUCACGGGUAAAAUGGCUUAAUUAGUUCCAUUUCACCAUGAUUACAGUUUAGCUAGAAGGCAGGCAUCACGUAGAAAACAUUAGAGAUUUGUAUCGUUUUGGUUUCUAAAGUAUACAUUCUUUUUGAACGAUUUCCCUCGCUUGAGUAAGUUCACUUUGAAUCAGGUGACUUGACAAUUUGUUACUUGUCGAGAUCGAACUGAGCUGAUCUGAAAUCACGCAUUUGAAACUAGGAAAGAAAGAAAAAGAAAAGAAAAGAAAAAAGAUGCCUUGCGAAUUUUACAAUUCAGGUAGACCCACAUCAAUGCAGGCGGAAUUAAACCGCAGAUCCGUUCGCUUUAGGUGUUUGACAAUAAAGACGGCUAAAAAGGGAGGCGUUGGGUGGUCGGGAGCAGAUAUGCAUGCAUGUCGCGGCUUGCUAUGAACCAGGAAUGUCGGCUAAUACAUUAUUGCAAUUGCAUUCCCAAAUUGGUCAGAGAAGAUUCCAGCUUGACGUCUAGAGUGAGGACAGGCAUUUAUUUUCCUAUGCCAGUCCUCCUCCUCCCCCUGCUCCUGUCGUUAGGGCAUAGGACCUAGUAGUUAAAAUAGGACUUUAGAUUAGACAUUUAAAGGACUUGGGAGUAAUAUUACUCAGGCCUCUUCUGCUUUCUAGUCCUUUAAUUUAGUGCCAAUCUUACCAGUUUUUCCAGCCGGGCAUUUAAUUAGUUUUUUACGUUAGGCCACAACACUCAUCCUAGCUCUACCAAGCUACCAAGCCCGCUAUUGUUGCUUCACCCUUUCUUGCAAGGUUGCCUAGCUUUUAUUCUGUGCUCGAAUCUUCAUUGGUUUUAGAUGGCCUAGUAAUUUUCAAUUUUUUUUUUUUAAAUUUCUGUAGUUUGGGGGAAUGAGCAAUUCUUAUAUUAUUUACUUGAGUUGCAAUUCCGUUAAUUUAUUUCUGAGAAGAUCGUCGAGAGAGAGAGAUACCUUUGAUCAAACAUGGAGAUGCUUUAGACUCGUGGUUGCAAUAUCUGGACGUAUUGCAAAAUUUUCAAUAAUAUUUAGACGCCAACAACUGCAUUAGUUAAUUCUCAUGACAUGAUCAUCACAAACACAAAAGAAUUCCUAUAGCAAUUAGAAGUGAUACCAAUAACCAAAAACUUCUCUUUUCUAUGAUAAUCAAUCAUUACUCAACUUGACAGUGUGUGAAUCCUUCAGUUUUCAAAUGGAGGCAGCCCCCAAUCUUUGGGGUUGAAAUCCAGUAGGGAACUCAGAACCUGAUCAGCAAUUUCAUGAUAUGAGUUGUCCAACCUAGGAUCAGGAACCAUAACAACAGACCUGCAAUGAUUUGUAAACAAACUUAACCCACAGAAUCUCAUGCCAUGUUGUACAAGCAUUAUUCCAAGUUUUGUUUACUACAUCCACACAUUAUAGGGGGAAGUAAUGAGGACUUACAUCCCAGCAUUUUUAGCUGCAAGGACACCAGAAGGAGCAUCUUCGAAGACGAGUAUGUUAUGAGGAUCAAUAGGUCCGCCCUGUCCAUAUGCAAAUUGAUGAUCCAAUUACAACACUUUCUUGUUGCAACAUAAGAAAGCAGUGACAGAAAUUCAUUAGCUUCUGCCUUUUAGGUACUAACUAAAAUUUUGUCUCACAGUACCUCAAAUCUUCUAGCUGCAGCAAGGAAUCCAUCAGGUGAGGGUUUGCCUUGUUUUACUUCAGGAUCGUCACCAAGAACAAUAUGAUGCAUCAGUGAAAAAAGUUCACCAUGCCUUUGUGUUUUCAACUCAAAAUGCCGUCUGUGAGAACUGUAACCAGAUUCAAGAGGAUUGCUGAGUCUCCACAUUUUAACACUUGAAAUUGCAGAUUAUAAUGCAUAAAGACAACAUCCAAAGAUCUAAAAGCUUAGAUCAUCAGUUAUGUGAAUGUGACUCAAAAUCUGAACAAGACAAGAAGAAUGAAGGUCAAAGUAUUGUACCCUGUUGCAACACAUAUUGGUACUCCAUUUGCAUGGAGGUGCCUAAUCAAGUGGCUGGCUCCUAAGAUCAUAAGAAAGAAAAAGUUAAAACAACGAAAUAAGAGUAUGUAACUGAAAGCUUUAGAACAAUAAACUAAUUAUUACCCAAAGAAAAAGUAAUUAAAAAAAAAAAAAGAGGAAGACUCCAAGAUGACAAAACCAUUCUUGAACACUAGAGUUUAAAAAGGUCAGCUGCCAAUUCACUUCCCAGUUUGGAAAGUAACCAACAUCCAGAACCCAAUAGAACUACAUUCAAUAAAAUUCCAAGGUGGAAGGAGGAGAAUUUAAGAAGAAGAAUGAGCAGACUCCAAGAUAAAGGGUGUACUC